GGGGAUUUAGCUCAGCGGCAUAAGCGCCUGCCUUGCAAGCAGGCAGUCUUGAGUUUAAAAUCUCUG
rnacentral:tRNA from 1 species